rnacentral:rRNA from 1 species
GACGAACCGUGCGAACGUUGUUCGGAAUCACUGGGCUUAAAGGGCGCGUAGGCGGGCUGCCAAGUCUGGGGUGAAAUCCCACGGCUCAACCGUGGAACUGCCUCGGAUACUGGCGGCCUCGAGGGAGGUAGGGGCGUGCGGAACUGUGGGUGGAGCGGUGAAAUGCGUUGAUAUCCACAGGAACUCCGGUGGCGAAGGCGGCGCUCUGGCUCGCAACUGACGCUCAGACACGACAGCAUGGGGAGCGAACGGG